rnacentral:rRNA from 1 species
AUUGAACGCUGGCGGCAGGCCUAACACAUGCAAGUCGAGCGGAUGAGUGGAGCUUGCUCCAUGAUUCAGCGGCGGACGGGUGAGUAAUGCCUAGGAAUCUGCCUGGUAGUGGGGGACAACGUUUCGAAAGGAACGCUAAUACCGCAUACGUCCUACGGGAGAAAGCAGGGGACCUUCGGGCCUUGCGCUAUCAGAUGAGCCUAGGUCGGAUUAGCUAGUAGGUGGGGUAAUGGCCCACCUAGGCGACGAUCCGUAACUGGUCUGAGAGGAUGAUCAGUCACACUGGAACUGAGACACGGUCCAGACUCCUACGGGAGGCAGCAGUGGGGAAUAUUGGACAAUGGGCGAAAGCCUGAUCCAGCCAUGCCGCGUGUGUGAAGAAGGUCUUCGGAAUGUAAAGCACUUUAAGUUGGGAGGAAGGGCAGUAAGCUAAUACCUUGCUGUUUUGUCGUUACCAACAGAAUAAGCACCGGCUAACUUCGUGCCAGCAGCCGCGGUAAAAC